rnacentral:lncRNA from 10 species
UUCUACCCUCUGGGUCUAAUUGUCUCUAGGAUAAGAUAAUAGUUAGACUAUCCUCAUCUAUAAAAUGGGAAAAUAAUUGUAUCUACCAUGAGAGGGCUGAGUGAGUUGAUAUGUAUAAGGCAUUUGAAACAAUAUGUGGCUCAUUUUAAAUGUUGUACAAGUGUUUACCAAGUGGUUUCCUGAGGCUAGAGAGCAUGCCUGAACUUUGAAAGUCAGUGGGGUGUACUGGUUUACACACUCACACACACCCACACACUAACUUUGCCAACAAUUCAACUGAAUUGUCCAAUAAGAGAUUUCUGAAAGAAGAAGUUAAUAGAAAUAAAAGAGAAAGAAAGGGUUAAAACACUUUGCAGAAUACCCCAAAAACAUAUAACAAAAUGUAUCAUGAUGACAAAUAACAGGAUAAAUGUCUGCAACAAUCAUAUGUUUCCUAUUUAUAGAAUUGACAAAAACAAUAUUUACUGUUAAUGAGGGAUAGUGACACAGAGGUAUUUAUAAAACCUCUGUAGGAAUGCAAAGUGGUACAUACUUUCUGAAAUCAAUUUG